rnacentral:lncRNA from 1 species
CUUGCAGCAGCAGGGGGGGAGGGGCGGCGCUGGCUCACCUGCCCGGGGCGGUGGCUGGACACUGGGGAAUGGCUGGGGGCGGGGCUUCCCUGCCGGCCGCGCGCAGGCGGGGCCUCCUGUACAGAGCCCGGGAAGAGCAAGCAGCGCCUUUCCAGGCUCCAGGAGACUGGCUCGCCUUGGCCGAAGACAUUCCUGGAACACCCCAGGACCAGGCUUUGGGACUUUUCCGGGAGAGGAACAGACUUUCAGGAUCGAUAGCCUUUGCUACAGUGUGUGUUGUCAGUGGAUUAAUGGAUGGUGCCUUCAGAACAGAAUCAGCAUUGAGUAAAACCAGAGCACCCAUCUGGGCUGGAGUGGUAAGUUGCACAUCUGAUUUUUCUAGGG